AACACAGUACUCUUUAAAGGCGCACACCUUUUUUAUUUAACAAAAGUUUUUCGUGUCGAGACCGGUGACCGUAGUUUCAGCUCAAAAUGCACAAAAUUUCUCGUGUGGGAUAAUAAGAAACUAUGCGGAAUACCAAGUGUUCCUUGUGGAAAAACAUUAAAGUCUCUGAAACUGCAAUAGUAUAGUUAAAGAUAACAUUGAUUCGAAAAAUAUUAUCAAAGUUUU
ensembl:ncRNA C39E9.19 ncRNA